rnacentral:misc_RNA from 1 species
AAGUCGUAACAAGGUUUCCGUAGGUGAACCUGCGGAAGGAUCAUUAUAAAGUGUUGUUGUGGUGGCUCCUUUUGGGGGGUCCACUACUUCAUCCUUGUGAACUGUAUUUUUUAUGCUUUGUGUCAUUUUUUUAUACUGUUGUUUAACAAUAAGACAACUUUCAGCAAUGGAUCUCUUGGCUCUU